rnacentral:rRNA from 1 species
UACGUAGGGGGCAAGCGUUGUCCGGAUUCACUGGGCGUAAAGGGUGCGUAGGUGGCUUGGUAAGUUUGAUGUGAAAUCUCCGGGCUUAACCCGGAAAUGGCAUUGAAUACUAUUGAGCUGGAGGUUUGGAGGGGGGACUGGAAUUCUCGGUGUAGCAGUGAAAUGCGUAGAUAUCGAGAGGAACACCAGUGGCGAAGGCGAGUCCCUGGACAACACCUGACACUGAGGCACGAAAGCUAGGGGAGCAAACAGG